GCUAAACUGCGAGUGAAGCGGGAAAAGCUCAAAUUUAAAAUCUGAUAGUCUUUGGCUGUCCGAGUUGUAGUCUGGAGAAGCGUUUUCCGUGCUGGACCGUGUACAAGUCUCCUGGAACGGAGCGUCAUAGAGGGUGAGAAUCCCGUCUUUGACACGGACUACCAGUGCUUUUGUGAUGCGCUCUCAAAGAGUCGAGUUGUUUGGGAAUGCAGCUCAAAAUGGGUGGUAAACUCCAUCUAAAGCUAAAUAUUGGCGAGAGACCGAUAGCGAACAAGUACCGUGAGGGAAAGAUGAAAAGCACUUUGGAAAGAGAGUUAAACAGUACGUGAAAUUGCUGAAAGGGAAACGCUUGAAGUCAGUCGCGUUUGCUAGGACUCAGCCUUGCCUCGGCUAAGGUGCAUUUCCUAGUAGACGGGCCAGCAUCACUUUUGGCUGCGGGAAAAAGGUCAGAGGAAUGUGGCACCUCCGGGUGUGUUAUAGCCUCUGGCUGUAUACCGUGGCUGGGAGUGAGGAACUCAGCGCGCCUUCAUGGCGGGGCCUCGGCCACCUUCGUGCUUAGGAUGCUGGCGUAAUGGCUUUAAACGACCCGUCUUGAAACACGGACCAAGGAGUCUAACAUGCCUGCGAGUGUUUGGGUGGAAAACCCGAGCGCGUAAUGAAAGUGAAAGUUGGGACCUCUGUCGUGGAGGGCACCGACGCCCGGACCAGACCUUCUGUGACGGAUCCGCGGUAGAGCAUGUAUGUUGGGACCCGAAAGAUGGUGAACUAUGCCUGAAUAGGGUGAAGCCAGAGGAAACUCUGGUGGAGGCUCGUAGCGAUUCUGACGUGCAAAUCGAUCGUCAAAUUUGGGUAUAG
rnacentral:rRNA from 1 species